CCUACGGGGGGCAGCAGUGGGGAAUAUUGGACAAUGGGCGAAAGCCUGAUCCAGCCAUGCCGCGUGUGUGAAGAAGGCCUUCGGGUUGUAAGCACUUUCAGUGGGGAAGAAAGCCUUGGGGCUAAUACCCUCGAGGAAGGACAUCACCCACAGAAGAAGCACCGGCUAACUCCGUGCCAGCAGCCGCGGUAAUACGGAGGGUGCGAGCGUUAAUCGGAAUUACUGGGCGUAAAGCGCGCGUAGGCGGUCUGAUAAGCCGGUUGUGAAAGCCCCGGGCUCAACCUGGGAACGGCAUCCGGAACUGUCAGGCUAGAGUGCAGGAGAGGAAGGUAGAAUUCCCGGUGUAGCGGUGAAAUGCGUAGAGAUCGGGAGGAAUACCAGUGGCGAAGGCGGCCUUCUGGACUGACACUGACGCUGAGGUGCGAAAGCGUGGGUAGCAAACAGGAUUAGAUACCCCUGUAGUC
rnacentral:rRNA from 1 species